UACGACUACAUAUCAGGCAUAUCAAUAAGCGGAGGAAAAGAAACUAACUAGGAUUCCCUCAGUAACGGCGAGUGAAGCGGGAAGAGCUCAAAUUUGAAAUCUUCAAGGUUCUACCUUGACGAAUUGUAGUUUAAUAGAAGUGUUUUCUGUUAGUGAAUUUGGCUAAAAGUUCUUUGGAAUAGGACAUCAUAGAGGGUGAGAAUCCCGUAUUUGACCGUUAUUCUCUAGCUGUGUGAUACACUUUCAAAGAGUCGGAUUGUUUGGGAAUGCAGUCCAAAAUGGGUGGUAAAUUUCAUCUAAAGCUAAAUAUUGGCGAGAGACCGAUAGCGAACAAGUACCGUGAGGGAAAGAUGAAAAGAACUUUGAAAAGAGAGUUAAACAGUACGUGAAAUUGUCAAAAGGGAAGCGUUUGACACCAGUGUUGUUUUCUCGAAAAUCAAUUAAAAAGAAGUUGGAUUUUGUAUUGUUAAGACCUUAUCAGCUUACUGUACUUUUUUCUUGCUCUUUUUAAUGCACUUUUCGUUUAACAAGUCAACAUCAAUUUCUUUUGUUGUAAAAGGGUCAUUGGAAGGUGGCUUUCACUUCGGUGAAAGUGUUUAUAGCCUUUGGCUUCUACAAUCGGAGAGAUUGAGGUCUGCAGCGUAGAUCCUUCGGGGUUAGAUACGUAGAUGCUAAGUUAUAGUUUUUUAUAGACAACUUGUUGACUAUGAUUAAUCAUGUAGCUUACUCGUUUACGCUAUUUUACCUACGCUUAGGAUGUUGAACGCGCACAGAGUCUC
rnacentral:rRNA from 1 species